GCCAAAACGUGAAACAUCCACAUAACGUCAUAAAUUAUCAUUUCAAAUCCACGAUAUAAACAUAAGUUGGUAAUCAUACCAUCAUCUCGCCACAUCAAAUAUACUGAAAAAUCCAUCAAAAAUGUAUCCUCUAACUAAAAUCUGAAAUCCGUCCCUUGAGCCAAGCACUUUCACCACUAGCCUUUGGCCGCCUUCGUGUACGAAGCGGGUCUCAAGGACCUCUGAUAAUCAAUUUUAAAAUACGACCAAUGCCCCUCAAUGAAUUAUAUGUACACGGCCACGACCCUUUCAUCCGCAGUCGACCCCUUAGUGUAGUAUAAACAUGACCAAGGUUCCGCUGUGAACUAGAAGUAUAUAAUCAUAGAUACUUUUCUGGGCAAUCUCAAUAACACAUAUGUCUCACAUUCCAACUCAAAAAUAAUCCAUAUCCAAACUUUAAAUUCCACAUAAAUCAUAGCGAAAGAAUCUUUCCAUAUUAAU
rnacentral:lncRNA from 1 species